GUACUUUUUUGACAGGGGAGAGACUAUAGUCAAGAAUGUGGGUUUCCUAGGCAAGGUUGAUCCAUUGUACUUGGGAUAUGUUGAUCCCUGAAAUUUCUCAAAAUUCAGGAAAUUCUACUGCAUAAAUUGUUGUUCUGGGGUACUGCAUUAAUGCUCUUCCUUA